CCUACGGGAGGCAGCAGUAAGGAAUAUUGGUCAAUGGAGGCAACUCUGAACCAGCCAUGCCGCGUGCAGGAUGAAGGCCCUAUGGGUCGUAAACUGCUUUUACACAAGAGAAAACCCGAGUACGUGUACUCGGUUGAUAGUAUUGUGAGAAUAAGCAUCGGCUAACUUCGUGCCAGCAGCCGCGGUAAGACGAAGGAUGCAAGCGUUAUCCGGAUUCAUUGGGUUUAAAGGGUGCGUAGGCGGACCUGUAAGUCAGUGGUGAAAUCUCUUUGCUUAACAAAGAAACUGCCAUUGAUACUGCAAGUCUAGAGUAUAGAUGACGUUGGCGGAAUAUGACAUGUAGUGGUGAAAUACUUAGAUAUGUCAUAGAACACCGAUUGCGAAGGCAGCUAACGAAACUAUAAACUGACGCUGAGGCACGAAAGUGGNGGAGUACAACAGAUAGUAUACCUACGUAGUCGCACGUAACGAUANAUACUCGUUGUUGUGAUAUAGUACGUCGAGCGACCGAACGACGAAGACGA
rnacentral:rRNA from 1 species